rnacentral:lncRNA from 1 species
AAACCAACAUCAUCCCAUCCACUAUUAAAAUAAAAGUAUUAAUUAACUAAUAUAUUUACGGGUUUUCUAUUGAAAGAUUAUAUCAUCUCCAUUCUCAAAUACUCCAUUUCCUCAGUUCGUAACCGUAAUUAACAAUCUUCACCACCGCCGUUUUCCCGUUAAAUUAACCGCGAUUUCACUUUCUUUCUUCAACGGUUUUCUCCUUUUCUUCAUCAACACAUGAAUUGCAAUCGUUCUUUCCAUUUUGUAAAUAACCGUUUUAAUCUGCAGACUCAUAUAAUUUGUAAUCGAACUUGAAUAAUCAUGUGCUUGUGAUUUUUGCUUAUAUUCUUGCAGGAAUUUAUUAGUGUUGUAAGUCAUCGUUCCAUUUUCGAUUUUUAAGAGCAUUUUGUUGGAACUUAUAUUCUUGCAGGAAUUUAUUAGCGUUGUAAGUCAUCGUUCCAUUUUCGAUUUUUAAGAGCAUUUUGUUGGAACGAAGAACAAACAACCAGUGACAAAGAAGAUGAACACGACCAUGAAGCAUCUGUUGGAGGAAUUUGAAGAGGUAUAUAUAUCCAUCAAAAUUUCAUUCUUUGAAAUAUAUGUUUAGUCUGAGUGCAUUUGCAUACGUUCAUAUGUUUGAUUUUGUUUCCAUAUUCAGUCUCCAUGUUUUAUUUUUUCUACACAUUCUAAAUUCAAAAUCGGGGCACUUAC